GAUGAAGACGUAGCGAAAUGCGAUAAGUAAUGCGAAUUGCAGAAUUCCAGUGAGUCAUCGAAUCUUUGAACGCACAUUGCGCCCUUUGGUAUUCCGAAGGGCAUGCCUGUUCGAGCGUCAUUAUCACCCCUCAAGCCCUCGGCUUGGUGUUGGACGGUUUGGUGGAGGCCCCCUCGGGGGCUCCUGCCCCUCCCAAAGACAAUGACGGCGGCCUCGUUGGACCCCCGGUACACUGAGUUCUUCACGGGACACGUAUCGGACACAUGGGUUUACGGGACACGGUCUGCCUCCCCUCAGGGAGAAUCUUUCUAAGGUUGACCUCGGAUCAGGUAGGGAUACCCGCUGAACUUAAGCAUAUCAAUAAGCGGAGGA
rnacentral:misc_RNA from 1 species